rnacentral:rRNA from 1 species
UACGUAGGGGGCAAGCGUUAUCCGGAUUUACUGGGUGUAAGGGGAGCGCAGACGGCAGUGCAAGUCUGGAGUGAAAGCCCGGGGCCCAACCCCGGGACUGCUCUGGAAACUGUACGGCUAGAGUACGGGAGGGGCAGGCGGAAUUCCUAGUGUAGCGGUGAAAUGCGUAGAUAUUAGGAGGAACACCGGCGGCGAAGGCGGCCUGCUGGGCCGAAACUGACGUUGAGGCUCGAAAGCGUGGGGAGCAAACAGG